AUACGGAGGAUCCGAGCGUUAUCCGGAUUUAUUGGGUUUAAAGGGUGCGCAGGCGGCCAUUUAAGUCAGCGGUUAAAUCGUGGGGCUCAACCCCAUUCUGCCGUUGAUACUGGGUGGCUUGAUUGCGGUCGAGGUUGGCGGAAUUCGUUGUGUAGCGGUGAAAUGCAUAGAUAUGACGAAGAACACCGAUUGCGUAGGCAGCUGACCAGAUCGCAAAUGACGCUCAUGCACGAAAGUGCGGGGAUCGAACAGGAUUAGAUACCCUGGUAGUCCACGCCGUAAACGAUGGGCGCUCGUCGUCGGCGACAGACAGUCGGCGGCCAAGCGAAAGCGAUAAGCGCCCCACCUGGGGAGUACGGUCGCAAGGCUGAAACUCAAAUGAAUUGACGGGG
rnacentral:rRNA from 1 species